rnacentral:rRNA from 1 species
AUGCCUCCCCCGGCGGGGCUGAUCCCCUGGCCGUCCCCGACCGCCCCGGCACCGCGACUCACUACCACGACCCGGCCGCGCCCCCCGCCUCGCGUUCGCCCUCCUCCUCCGCCCCCUCCCCCUCGCCGCGCCCCGCCGCCACCUCCGCGGCUCAAGCCGGUCGUCGCGCCAAAACCGGCUGCCUCCCUGCCCCCGCCGCCCGUCAUUGUCUCCACCAUGGACCCCGCCUCCACCUGCCUCAACUGCACCCACUUCGGCUCGUGCUCCGGGUGCACUCACGAGUUCGACCUCGACAAGCCGCCGGUGCUGCAGGAGGUGACGGAUUUCUUCAGUGCUCACGGAAUCGAAGACUUCACCUUCAGCAGGGGCAGGCUGUCAGAAUGGCGGUGCCGGGCGAAGCUAGCGGUACGCGGAACACCAGAGAAACCGCUGAUUGGCCUGUAUCAGGAAGGGACACAUAUUGUUCAAGAUAUUCCCGAGUGCAGAGCCCAUCACCCAAGCAUUAACUAUGCUAUUAAGCUUCUGAAGCAAGGUAUAUCCGAGCUCGGUGUGCAGCCUUUUGAUGAAGAUGCUGGUACUGGUGAACUAAGAUACGUGCAGAUGACCGUGACGACAUAUAACACGUCUAUUCCAGUUGCGCAAAGAUACGAGCAAGCGAGAGUUCAAGUUUCAUUGGUUUGGAAUUCAAGAGACGAGCGCUCCAAAAAUUCAGAGAAGUUGAGUUUGUUGCAAGAAUUCUUAUGGACAAAUGGUGGACCAAGAAGUAAUUUGCAUGUGAUUCACUCCAUAUGGGCCAAUUUCCAGACAUCAACCAGCAAUAUAAUUUUUGGGCAUAAAUGGAGACAUAUCGGCGGGGAGGCAGAUCUGUGGGAGCGUUUUGGGGGAGUUGAUAUUUGUCUUGACCCUUAUAGCUUUGGGCAGGCUAAUACUCUGUCUUUUAACUCGUUACUGCAUAAGUUGAUCAAAUAUGUACCACGGGGCUCAACAGUUGUUGAUUUGUACUCUGGUGCCGGUGUUAUUGGGUUAGCCAUCGCGGCUUCUAGGAAAUGCAGGUCUGUGAGAUGUGUUGAGAUCAACAAAAUGUUGAAAUUGUCUUUUGAGAAGUCAGCAAGCCGACUUCCACCAAACCUGGGUUGCACCAUAACUUGGCACAAUACCGAUGCUUCAGCUGAACCCAUUCACUGGCUUGAAGGGUCAAGUGUUGCUAUCGUGGAUCCUCCCAGGAAAGGACUGCACCCUUCUGUUAUCAAUGCUCUACAGAGAGUUGCUUUAUCUGAGCGCAAGGCGUUCAAGGCCAAAAGUUCACUUACAAAGGUGAAAGAUGAGAAGAGACCAUGGAUCCUGCGAGCAAGGGAACCAGCUGUUCAUGUUGAUAGUACAAUCAUGGAAGAAAGUAGUGGAAUAUGGCCAGAGACCCUCAUAUACAUCAGCUGCGGCUGGGACAGUUUUAAAAAGGACUGCAAAAGCUUGAUAUCCAACGAGGCCUGGCAUUUGGAGAAUGCACAUGCUUUUAACUUCUUCCCUGGCACUGAUAGCAUCGAAGUCCUGGCGAUCUUCAGACGGGACUCUGGAAUUGCUCAGAAGAAAACAAAAACAAAAACAAAAACAAAAGCGAAAGCGAAAGCGAAAACAAAAGCGAAAAAGAAGAAAGCCAAGCCAUCGAAAGUCUAG